GGUCAGGAUAGGUUAAAUGCAUCUGCGCAACUGUCAAAAUAUUUCGGAAGAAUCAAGUUAUGUGAACUUGGCAUGACUGAUUAGCCAUUUAACAAAACUUUAGGUGUAUUUGGCUAUGUAUUGUAUAAGAUGAACUUAAUCUUGUUAGUAGUUAAGCGUGUGGUGUAAGUAGUUUCGAAAGUGUUGUUUACUUUUGGCGUGAUCGAAGACUGCAUGUCGGAUUGAAGUGAACCAGAUACUAUAGCACUUGGAAAUUUUCGAUAUUCCCUUAUUAUUUGAUGACCAGAAACGAUUGAUCUCAAAAUAACAGUCGGGUUUGGUACCCAAGAUGAGCUCGCACCAUCACCUGGGUCCUUCAUCCGGUGAAAUAGAACACAUUAAUUUUUUGUCGGACGACAUUGGUGCCUUGUACUUAUCAGAUGAUUACUCAGAUGUAACAUUGGUUGUUGCUGGUCAGCGGUUUAAUGCUCACAAGGUGAUCUUGGCUGCUCGAAGUCAAUAUUUUCGCGCACUUUUGUAUGGAGGAUUGAAGGAGUCAAAUCAACAAGAAAUUGAAUUGAAAGGAACCACUUUACCAGCUUUCAAAGGACUGCUUAAAUACAUUUACACUGGCCAUAUGUCUCUCGCCAAUCAACGUGAAGAAGUCAUCUUGGACAUACUGGGGUUGGCUCAUCAAUAUGGAUUUCUAGAUUUGGAAACCUCAGUCUCUGAUUACUUGAGGGAAAUUCUCAACAUUAAAAAUGUUUGUAUUAUAUUCGAUGCAGCUCGUCUGUAUCAGCUUGAAUUUUUAUCUAAGGUGUGUCAUGCAUACAUGGACAAACAUGCUCUUGAAGUCAUACAGCACGAGACUUUUUUACAACUAAGCCCGAGUGCUUUGAAUGAGUUGAUAGCGCGAAAUUCAUUCUAUGCCCCAGAAAUUGACGUGUUCCUAGCUGUGCAGGCUUGGGUGAAAGCAAAUCCGGAUCUGCGUGCUAGGGAUGUUGUAGGUCAGGUCCGACUAGGAUUAAUUGAUCUAAAAGAUUUAUUGAAUAUCGUUCGACCGACUGGGCUAGUAUCAUCAGAGGCUAUUUUAGAUGCAAUUACAGAAAGAACACAAACAAAAGACUCGGAAUUGAACUAUCGUGGUCGUCUUCUGAUCGAAGAGAAUGUAGCCCAUCCCAGACUUGGUGCCCAAGUUUUACAGGGUGAAAUGCGUAGUUUUUUACUCGACGGUGACACUCACAAUUAUGACAUGGAACGAGGGUACACUCGACAUGCUAUAACAGAUUCUCACGGACACGGAAUUUUAAUUAAAUUGGGAACGCAAUGUAUUAUAAAUCACGUGAAGAUGCUGUUGUGGGAUAGAGAUCUGCGAUCGUAUUCCUAUUACUUGGAGGUAUCGAUGGACCAGAAAGAUUGGGUUAGAGUAAUUGAUCAUACAGAAUACUUUUGCCGUAGCUGGCAGUACCUAUACUUUGAAGAAAGAGUUGUCUCUUACAUACGUAUAGUUGGAACCAACAACACUGUAAACAAAGUGUUUCAUGUGGUCAGUUUCGAGGCAUACUACACACACCAGCCAGUCAAGUUGUCUAAAGGUUUCGUUGUGCCAAUACGAAACAUUGCUACAAUGGAGCGAAGUGCUAGUGUUACAGAAGGUGUCAGCAGGUCUCGCAAUGCUUUGUUGAACGGUGAUACAUCCAAUUAUGAUUGGGACAGCGGAUACACAUGCCAUCAGCUUGGGUCUGGUGCCAUUUUAGUACAACUUGGACAACCAUAUAUGAUUGACUCUAUGCGAUUGCUGCUUUGGGAUUGCGAUGAACGUUCUUACUCAUACUACAUUGAAGUGUCUGGUAAUUCAUGGGACUGGGAGGUUGUUGCAGAUAAAACAAAAGAAGCUUGUCGAUCUUGGCAAACGCUUCGCUUUCAUCCGCCAAGACCAGUUGUUUUCAUUCGCAUUGUUGGCACACACAACACUGCCAAUGAAGUAUUUCAUUGCGUACAUUUUGAAUGCCCGGCACAAACAGAGGACGAAAAAGCUAUCAACUCACCUACUAAGCGAGGGAAAAAAUCAAUACUAAACACUCUUAAUCCUUUGAUGCCACCACCACCAGAAACUGCAACGGAAGCAGUCAACAUUGACAAUGAAGACAACUCGACAGAUGAUUUGAUGGCUGGCGCUGCUGUCUUUUAAAAAAUGCCGACUAGGCUUAACACUGUAUUAUCAACUAAGAAUUUCGGUUAAUAAGAAUGUUUCAACGAGGUUCAAGAUUCAUGCUCUAACUGUCCAAAAUUGAAUCCAGCCAUUUUUCAAGAUCAAUCGAUUUCACAGGAGCCGAAGAGUUCGGGAUUUUUUCCUCUGUUAACAGAAUAAAUAAAUAAGUACAGCAAUUUAAAAGAAAUGGUAAAAACGGCAUUUCUAACUAUAAAUGUAGACAAAUGCAAUAGACUCCCACCUUCAGUUUUAAUUUGGUAAGUAGGUGGAGCAAUUUUAGCCUGAUCAAGUUUAACAGGUUCCUUUAAUGAAAGAAGAAAAUCUAAAUCUUCCUCUAUUGUUUCCUUUCCUUGAGCCAUCUCAUGAAUUUCAAUUGAUACUUCAGGUUCACUUCCACUGUCUAUAUCUUGAUUUUCAGCAACAGUUUCUCUUUUAAUAUCCAUCAAAAUUUGGACAAUGUUGUUAUCAACCUCAAUAGCAUCUGAUCUGGACAUUUCAGCAAGAUUCUGAAACUUCAUUAGCUGAUCAGCCUGCAACAAGUAUUGGGCAGUUUACGAGCCUUGAGAAGUAUAUUCAAUUCAAGUAAUAAUUUCGGAUAAUUUAAAAGCUGCCACUUACCGUGAAAUAUCUAUCUUCUACAUCAAUAUAUUCAGUGAAUGGAACGCAGUUAAUAUCUCUGGCAAGUUUUUUAACAUUUAAUGAAAAUAAAUCGGAAUACUUGGAGA
rnacentral:misc_RNA from 1 species